CAAUAGCGUAUAUUAAAGUUGUUGCAGUUAAAAAGCUCGUAGUUGGAUUUGUGGCGUACGGUGUGUUCCGGGCACUUGUUGUCUGAGUAACCUGCUGUUGCCAUCCUUGGGUGGAACCUGUGUGGCAUUAGGUUGUCGUGCAGGGGAUGCCCAUCAUUUACUGCGAAAAAAUUAGAGUGUUCAAAGCAGGCUUAUGCCGUUGAAUAUAUUAGCAUGGAAUAAUGAGAUAGGACUUUUUUGCUAUUUUGUUGGUUUGCGCAAAGAGGUAAUGAUUAAUAGGGACAGUUGGGGGUAUUCGUAUUCCAUUGUCAGAGGUGAAAUUCUUGGAUUUUUGGAAGACGAACUACUGCGAAAGCAUUUACCAAGGAUGUUUUCAUUAA
rnacentral:rRNA from 1 species